rnacentral:rRNA from 1 species
CGCAUCUGUGCAUGCAGCAUAUCAAUAAGCGGAGGAAAAGAAACUAACAAGGAUUCCCUUAGUAACGGCGAGUGAAGCGGGAAGAGCUCAAAUUUGAAAUCUUCAAGGUUUUACCUUGACGAAUUGUAGUUUAAAGAAGUGUUUUCUGUUGAAGUUUUGGUAAAAGUUCUUUGGAAUAGGACAUCAUAGAGGGUGAGAAUCCCGUAUUUGACCAUUAUUUUCAGCCUGUGUGAUACACUUUCAAAGAGUCGGAUUGUUUGGGAAUGCAGUCCAAAAUGGGUGGUAAAUUUCAUCUAAAGCUAAAUAUUGGCGAGAGACCGAUAGCGAACAAGUACCGUGAGGGAAAGAUGAAAAGAACUUUGAAAAGAGAGUUAAACAGUACGUGAAAUUGUCAAAAGGGAAGCGUUUGACACCAGUGUUGUUUUCUCGAAAAUCAAUUAAAAAGAGUUAGAUUUUGUUGUGUAUUGACCUUAACAGCUUGCAUUUCAAUUUUCCUUGCUUUUUUUAAUGCACUUUUCGUUUAACAAGUCAACAUCAGUUUCUUUUGUUGUAAAAAGGUCAUUGGAAGGUGGCUUUCUUUUCGGAGAAAGUGUUUAUAGCCUUUGACUCCUGCAAUCGGAGAGACUGAGGUCUGCAGCGUAGAUCCUUCGGGGUUAGAUACAUUUGUGCUAAGUUAUAGCUUUUUAUAGACAACUUGUUGACUAUGAUUAGUCUUGUAGCUUACUCGCUUAUGCUAUUUUACCUACGCUUAGGAUGUUGACACACGCGCGUGCUC